UACAGAGGUCCCAAGCGUUGUUCGGAUUCACUGGGCGUAAAGGGUGCGUAGGUGGUCGGGUAAGUCUGAUGUGAAAUCUCCGAGCUUAACUCGGAAAUGGCAUUGGAUACUAUUCGGCUUGAGAGUUGGAGGGGGGACUGGAAUUCUCGGUGUAGCAGUGAAAUGCGUAGAUAUCGAGAGGAACACCAGUGGCGAAGGCGAGUCCCUGGACAACUUCUGACACUGAGGCACGAAAGCUAGGGGAGCAAACAGG
rnacentral:rRNA from 1 species